ACUCGUGUGUAUAGCCCAUAGUCACCACGCUGGGCUGGCGUAUUAGUGACCGCAUGGCUGGCUUCUGUCUGAAGACGCUGCUGCCCGUCUUCGGCCUGUGUAUUUCAAAGCCAGCAGUUGGAUGUGUUUUAGUAAAAUU